CAGAGGGGGCAAGCGUUGUUCGGAAUUACUGGGCGUAAAGGGCGCGUAGGCGGCCUGCUAAGUCGAACGUGAAAUCCCUGGGCUCAACCCAGGAACUGCGUCCGAGACUGGUUGGCUUGAAUCCGGGAGAGGGAUGUGGAAUUCCAGGUGUAGCGGUGAAAUGCGUAGAUAUCUGGAGGAACACCGGUGGCGAAGGCGGCAUCCUGGACCGGCAUUGACGCUGAGGCGCGAAAGCCAGGGGAGCAAACGGGAUUAGAUACCCCGGUAGUCCUGGCCCUAAACGAUGAAUGCUUGGUGUGGCGGGUAUCGAUCCCUGCCGUGCCGAAGCUAACGCAUUAAGCAUUCCGCCUGGGGAGUACGGUCGCAAGGCUG
rnacentral:rRNA from 1 species